rnacentral:rRNA from 1 species
CCUACGGGGGGCAGCAGUGGGGAAUAUUGCACAAUGGGGGAAACCCUGAUGCAGCGACGCCGCGUGAGUGAAGAAGUAAUUCGUUAUGUAAAGCUCUAUCAGCAGGGAAGAAAAUGACGGUACCUGAGUAAGAAGCCCCGGCUAACUACGUGCCAGCAGCCGCGGUAAGACGUAGGGGGAAAGCGUUAUCCGGAUUUACUGGGUGUAAAGGGAGCGUAGACGGCAGUGCAAGUCUGGAGUGAAAGGCGGGGGCUCAACCCCCGGACUGCUCUGGAAACUGUACGGCUGGAGUGCAGGAGAGGUAAGUGGAAUUCCUAGUGUAGCGGUGAAAUGCGUAGAUAUUAGGAGGAACACCAGUGGCGAAGGCGGCUUACUGGACUGUAACUGACGUUGAGGCUCGAAAGCGUGGGGAGCAAACAGGAUUAGAUACCCGGGUAGUC